AUUGAACGCUGGCGGCAGGCUUAACACAUGCAAGUCGAGGGGCAGCGCGGGUAGCAAUACCUGGCGGCGACCGGCAAACGGGUGCGGAACACGUACACAAUUUACCUUCGUCUGGGGCAUAGCCCGAAGAAAUUCGGAUUAACACCGCAUAAAAUCACAGUACCGCAUGGUACAAUGAUCAAAUAUUUAUAGGAUUGAGA
rnacentral:rRNA from 1 species